ensembl:lncRNA
GAUGAAGGGAAAGAAGAUUCUAAGAGAAUAACUGCACAAUAGCUGCACUGAAACAAAAUGCAGAGACUUUAAUGGGGGAUCAACUUAAAGACCAUGCAGGGCUGUUGUGCUUAUAUUAACUGCAGUAUAGGAAUAAAUCAAACAGAUUUUCUUGGUAGUGCUGGGAUGUCAGUACGUGUUUUUGCUCCGAACUCCACAUAUCCUGUGAAAGUGCCUGGCCUGGCCCCAUUGUGCAGCUGUGUUCUGAGAGAGCCCAGGGCCAUAACAUCCCAGUGAAGUGCAAGUGGAAAGAGGGAAGUGAGCUGCAGAAGAGAUGAGACUCAUGAUCUGCAGUUGUUUGAUGCAGAGAUUGAACAUUGAAAAUCACGAACAACAUUUACAUGAAACACUAGCUGCCACUAGCUUCACAUUCAUCUGUCAGGUGAUCAAAAUCUCAAUCUGAAUUUUUAGUCUGAACAUUUUUCUUCCUGUGGUCUCUUUACAACAAAAUUGCAUCCUCUUCCUUUCUGCGGCCUUCAGAUCAGUCUUUGCAACUUCUAAGUGACGGAUGAAGGAAAUCCUUAUUGCUUGAAGCAGCUCUACCUAUUUAUAUGAACCUGCCACGUGGUUUCCUAAAAUAUGAACUGACAAGGCCAUUCGUCUCUGAAAUGCUGCUGAAGAUGGUUUCAGAACUGGAGUGAUGAAGCCUGGUCGUAAUAGCUGCUGUCUCUUUCUUGUUGCCUCGUGUGCCAAGGUGUCCCAAAGCACAGCUGUGAAACAAAGUACCGUGGAAUAUUCCUUGAGAAUUCUACCCAGAUGUGAAAAGAAUAAGUGCAUUUUUUAAAACAGAUUUUAAGUUAAGCUGUUCAGCCUGAAAAUGUCAAAUAUGAAGAAGUGAUACUUUUGCUUAAUGUAAAACUGAAUCACUUCUUUAAUACGUAUAGCAUCUGAGUGAUUUAGUUAAGCUAUAUUAAAUUACAAUUCUGUUCUUGUUUUCUUGAUUAUAUUCAGAAUUACAAACUUCAGAUCUAUUGUUGUUAAAUAGGGAUAUUUUUCACUGUUCAGGUAUGAAUAUUUAAACAGUGCUAAAUUUCGAGGUAUACAGAUGAGCUAAUUUGAAAUUUUAAAUGAAUUAAAAGUUCAAUUUCUGAAAUGAUUUGUAAAGUCUUGCUUGAUUCUUGAGUGCUUCCAGGUGCUUCAAUAAAACCUGGUUCCAAAAAAUCCAGUAUUCUGUUUCUGAAAUUCACUAUUUAACCUCAUUCUUGUUAAUCUAGUACAAACUUUUAUUUCAUUUGACAGUACAGUUUUCAACUUUAUAGAUGAACCAGACAUUAAAACUCACAUAGCUUAUAAUUUACACGGAAAAUGGCAGAAAAAUAAAAGAUCAUUAGGGCUUGCAUUGCUAAAAUCAGAGCCAUCUGACCUCCUUUAACAAUUACUGCAUUUGAUAUUUAAUAACUUUCACAGAUUAACAUUGCUGACAAAUGAUCUGGUUUUCCAGUGGGUAGUUUAGCUCAUUGGAUCCAAAGGUAAAUAAAAGAAAAGGCAAUAAGCUCAUGGCUGUUAACAUGCUUUCAGCCCUUGGCCACCAUUUACCCCACUCCACAGCAUGUAGAAAAAUCUCUGCCCAGCUGUAAUGAGAAGCUCCACCCCAUAUUAUUCUUGUUACAUAGGUACAGGUACUUAUAGCAGAAGUGCAGAAUUCACAUUCUUUGUACAUUCUGUGAGAGAGAAAAAGCAAAUGGUCAAUCAAAUUAGUCUUUUCUCAGCAUCUCUGCCCAGUACAUUGCCCUUUAGAGCAGCGGAUUUAGUAUCAGUUGGUCUCUGCCUGGGGUACAUGACGGUUUACCUCAAAUUCAGGACUUGUCACUUCAAUAACAAUCUUUAAUUUUGGAUAUGUUUACUUUUUUUCUGUUUUCUUGUCUACUAUUCUAUUGUUUUGAAAUUCUUUUAUUGCUAAAUGCUGGAGAAAGCUCAUUUCAAACAUUCUGUUACACCAUUUUCUUUGUGUGUACCACAUACAACAGAGUUUUUCUUUCAAGUGCUGUAUUUCAUUUAAAACUGAUUGCACAAUUUUAGUGCCUGUGCCUCUUUAGCAAUCCUGGCUUUUUCAACCAACUUCUUUUUUUUUUCUUUUCUUUUCUAUUGCUGGAUAGGAAGGAAAAACUGACAUUUUCUUAUGUAACAGCAGCAGGUUGUAGUGCAGUGAAACUGGAAAAGCACUGCCAAGUAUUCCAGCUGUACUCUCUGACUAUAGUUCUGCUUCUUCUCAUGUCUCAGACAACCAGUGAUGUUUCUGAGUGCUUCUGUUAUCAGCAGGGAUAAUCUUUGUACGUCAGAUUCACAGCUUUCCAUUUAGUCCAAGACAUGUUUGCCUCAAAUAUAAGCAAACACAAGUUUUGCAGUACAUUUUGUUCGCACAGACUGACAUCAGUUUUUAAUAGGUAUGAUGCCACUACAGGCCAGUACUGUUAGUGCCAGAUCUUUUCUGAAUCUUUUUUUUUGUACUCCAUUUCCCGAUGUUUUCGUUGAUGUUCAGUAUUUAUACUGCCUCUUUAGAUUUCUCAUAAUACAAGGGCAUACGUUAGAUUCUUGCACAAUGCAUUUAAAAAGAAAAAUAACUUUAUGCAAAGGAAGAUAGGUUUAUGCUUUAUAUUUCUGAAGAGCAGCCCAUGGGAGGCCUUUCACUUGAUGGUGACUCACCAACUCAGGACCAGCUUGAGAGUUCUAAUGGUGGUGAGGCUGUUGGGGAGCUCAGAUACAAGAUUAUGGAAGGAAGGCUGACAGUGUUGGUGAAUGUGACUCAGUUAAGAGCAGCCUACCUGUUCAAUGGGAUGCUGGAUUAUCUGACACAUCCCUACUGCUGCCUGCUCACAGUGACCAUAGCUCCUCACAUGGGAUGUAUGUUGUGAUUUCUGGCCACAGGUAGCUCUUGGAAGCUGUCAAAGGCACAACCAUAAAAGCUAAGAGAGAAUCUCAAGUAAAAAAGUAUGGGCAAAUGCUCAUGUUGUGUAAGCACCAAAACCAUUAUUUUUUUUCAGAAAUCUUUGGGUGCUUUUAUCUUAGUAAAGCCCUAAAGUUGCCAGUUUCAUGUUUAAGUGUAACGUAAAUAUCUACUCAGAAGAGUGAACCCUUCUUUAUUAAGACUUAGCUGUUUGCAAUUAUAAGACAGUAAAUAUUCAUUUUAGGAAAACACAUACUGCUAAUUUCCACCUGCAUCUGAUUCAGCUGUGUGCCAAAUAUCUGGGUUUCAGCACCUACAAGUUUCCAGGAUGUUUUUCAGAAGGCAAAUAAAAAUUAAUUUUAAAUAUAUUAUAAAACUAACAGAUGUUUUGGAUUUUUUUCAUUUAUGCCCAUGUCACCACUGCAGAACAAAUUAAAGAGACUAUUGAGAAAAGUGUAUGAGAACUAAUCAGGAAAAAAAGGGCAAUAUUUUUAUGAAUUUUAUUAUCACAUCAAUGUUAUGCUUAAUGAGAUUUUUGUCCAUGUCUAUAAAUAUAAAUAUUUAAUAAUAUAAUAAAUUUC